UGGGGAAUAUUGGACAAUGGGCGAAAGCCUGAUCCAGCCAUGCCGCGUGUGUGAAGAAGGUCUUCGGAUUGUAAAGCACUUUAAGUUGGGAGGAAGGGCAGUAAGUUAAUACCUUGCUGUUUUGACGUUACCGACAGAAUAAGCACCGGCUAACUCUGUGCCAGCAGCCGCGGUAAUACAGAGGGUGCAAGCGUUAAUCGGAAUUACUGGGCGUAAAGCGCGCGUAGGUGGUGCGUUAAGUUGGAUGUGAAAGCCCCGGGCUCAACCUGGGAACUGCAUCCAAAACUGGCGAGCUAGAGUAUGGUAGAGGGUGGUGGAAUUUCCUGUGUAGCGGUGAAAUGCGUAGAUAUAGGAAGGAACACCAGUGGCGAAGGCGACCACCUGGACUGAUACUGACACUGAGGUGCGAAAGCGUGGGGAGCAAACA
rnacentral:rRNA from 1 species